rnacentral:rRNA from 1 species
CCGCCCGUCACACCAUGGGAGUUGAUUGCACCAGAACGCAGGUAGCCUGACCGCAAGGAGGGCGCCUACCACGGUGUGGUCAAUGACUGGGGUG